rnacentral:rRNA from 1 species
GACGAACGCUGGCGGUGUGCUUAACACAUGCAAGUGGAGCGACGAACCAGGGCUUGCCCUGGGGCAGAGCCGCGAACGGGUGAGUAACACGUGGGUAACGUACCCCGAUAACCGGGACAACCCGAGGAAACUCGGGCUAAUACCGGAUGUGCUCGCAUCUCAUGAGAGUUGUGAGUAAAGGAAGCUUCGGCCUCCGUAUCGGGAGCGGCCCGCGGCCUAUUAGUUUGUUGGUGGGGUAACGGCCUACCAAGACCGCGAUAGGUAGCUGGUCUGAGAGGACGAUCAGCCACACUGGGACUGAGACACGGCCCAGACUCCUACGGGAGGCUG